UGAAGACCCAAUGUUCACCGUAGUUUUGUUCUAUGGAUAUGCUUUGACUUGGUUGUUCAGUAAUGUCUUUGUUCUAGCUGUUGUCCUCUUUUGUAGUAUCCCUGACUCUAAUCCUGUAAUUGGUGUCACUAAUUCCUAUGUGCACUUAGUCAGUUGGUCUCAUGAAAUAUCGCCCCAGCAGGGGGAGGACCUGAGCUUGGCUGAUUCUAUAAUGCUUUCUCUAUAACUCCACAUUAGUCUGCCUUGUCUGCUAUAACAGACCAUUGCUCCAACAGGUCUGCAGCAUGAUGAAGGAGUAACAGAUGGGAGUAGUUGUAAUGUUACAGAGAAGGUGCUAAGGUCCUGAGUCGUGAUCCCGUGAAAUCCCCAUCCGUGUUCCAAGAUGAACCUAUGGAGAGCAUCCUUUCUGGUGUUCUUUGCAGUGACCUCUGCAGGACUGCUCAUUGAGCCCCGGGAGGGCAGCGUUGCUGGAGGAACAUGGAUUACCAUCACUCUGGAUGGCUCGGCAUCCCACGAGCUAGAACAUCUCUCUCCAGCCAGCUGGCCCCACCUGGAGGUAUCCUUGGUGAACACAGACCUGCCCACGUUGCUGUGUGAUGUCUCUCCCGUCUAUUUUGACUCAUCCACCAUAAGAUGUAGAACAAGGUAUGAUCCCUGACUGUAAUAUCAAAUCAUCUGGUUUGGAGAAGACCUUUAUGAUGAUAAGGUUAAUCUAUCAGUCUGACGUAUUGUGUCCCAUCACUUAGCACACGUCCCCCUGUGGGAAAACAAAGACUAAUCCCCCACUUUGACUAACAAAAGACCUCGGGACAUGUGACCAAGGGGUUGUUAAGCGGGUAUAAAAGGUUGUAAGCACGUACAAUAAGGGAGUCUUCCUCCUGCACUAGCAACGGGGUCAGUGCCUCAAUUGCCACAAAUGGCGCCUGAACAGGGACCUUGUAUCAGGGUCGGCCUCGGGAGAGAGUCGGGUGACCAGGCUGACUGGUGGCAAUCGGGAAGCGGAACCCAAAAAGUGCUGGAAGGAAGCAGGGCCAGGCUGCACGGCCACAGUCGCUCCUGCAGGACGGAGGUGAGCGACGGGGAACGGAUGGGACCAAACGGAACAAAGGAACAGGAGGCGGUUUGCAAAAUAAAGGAAGCGAUUUUGCAGAAGCGCCA
rnacentral:lncRNA from 1 species